CCCUUAGAUGUUCUGGGCCGCACGCGUGCUACACUGAGUGGAUCAGCGGGUCAGGUUGCGCGAAAGUGUUUCCUAAUCUUUAAAUCCGCUCGUGAUGGGGAUUGACGGUUGCAAUUUUCCGUCAUGAACGAGGAAUACCUUGUAAGCGCGGGUCAUCAUCCCGCGCUGAAUACGUCCCUGCCCUUUGUACACACCGCCCGUCGCUCCUACCGAUUGAGUGGUCCGGUGAGGCUUUGGGAUCUGAGCAGAAAGAGCGUUUCGCUGUUUCUGCCCGGAAAACUCAGUCGAACCUUAUCAUUUAGAGGAAGGAGAAGUCGUAACA
rnacentral:rRNA from 1 species